GCCUAAAGCGUCCGUAGCCUGUUCUAUAAGUUUCCGGUUAAAUCCAUUAGCUCAACUAAUGGGCUGCCGAAAAUACUGUAGAACUAGGGAGUGGGAGAGGUAGACGGUAUUCGGUAGGAAGGGGUAAAAUCCUUUGAUCUAUUGAGGACCACCUGUGGCGAAGGCGGUCUACCAGAACACGUUCGACGGUGAGGGAUGAAAGCUGGGGGAGCAAACCGGAUUAGAUACCCGGGUAGUCCCAGCCGUAAACGAUGCAGACUCGGUGAUGCGCUGGCUUGUGGCCAGUGCAGUGCCGCAGGGAAGCCGUUAAGUUUGCCGCCUGGGAAGUACGUACGCAAGUAUGAAACUUAAAGGAAUUGGCGGGGGAGCACCACAAGGGGUGAAGCCUGCGGUUCAAUUGGAGCCAACGCCAGAAAUCUUACCCGAAGAGACAGCAGAAUGAAGGUCAAGCUGGAGACUUUACCAGACAAGCUGAGAAGUGGUGCAUGGCCGUCGCCAGCUCGUGCCGUGAGAUGUCCUGUUAAGUCAGGUAACGAGCGAGAUCCCUGCCUCUAGUUGCCACCAUUACUCUCAGGAGUAGUGGGGCGAAUUAGCGGGACCGCCGCAGUUAAUGCGGAGGAAGGAAGGGGCCACGGCAGGUCAGUAUGCCCCGAA
rnacentral:rRNA from 1 species